rnacentral:rRNA from 1 species
UACGUAGGGUGCGAGCGUUGUCCGGAUUUAUUGGGCGUAAAAGGGCUCGUAGGCGGCCUGUCGCGUCGGGAGUGAAAAGCCCACUGCUUAACGGUGGGUCUGCUUUCCGGUACGGGGCAGGGCUGGAGUGUGUCAGGGGGAGACUGGAAAUUUCCUGGUGUAGCGGUGGGAAUGCGCAGAUAUCAGGAGGAACACCGGUGGCGAAAGGGCGGGCUACCCUGGACCGGAUCUGACGCUGAUGCGCGAAAAGCGUGGGGGAGCAAAACAGG